CUACGGGUCGCACCAGUGGGGAAUAUUGGACAAUGGGGGAAACCCUGAUCCAGCAAUGCCGCGUGUGUGAAGAAGGCCUGCGGGUUGUAAAGCACUUUCGGUUGGGAGGACUGCUUCUAGCACUAAUAUUGUUGGAAGUUGACGUUACCUUCAGAAGAAGCACCGGCUAACUCCGUGCCAGCAGCCGCGGUAAUACGGAGGGUGCAAGCGUUAAUCGGAAGUACUGGGCGUAAAGCGCGCGUAGGCGGCUAGAUCAGUCGGGUGUGAAAGCCCCGGGCUUAACCUGGGAACUGCAUCCGAUACUGUCUAGCUUGAGUACAGGAGAGGAGAGUGGAAUUCCACAUGUAGCGGUGAAAUGCGUAGAUAUGUGGAGGAACACCAAUGGCGAAGGCAGCUCUCUGGCCUGAUACUGACGCUGAGGUGCGAAAGCGUGGUGAGCAAACAGGAUUAGAUACCCCUGUAGUC
rnacentral:rRNA from 1 species